UUUAUGGUAGUAUAUAAUAUUACAAUUAACUGUUAAUUAAUAAAAAUCUAGAUUAAGAUCCAUAAAG
rnacentral:tRNA from 1 species